rnacentral:rRNA from 1 species
UACGGAGGGUGCAAGCGUUAAUCGGAAUUACUGGGCGUAAAGCGCGCGUAGGCGGCUGGAUAAGUCGAUCGUGAAAGCCCCGGGCUCAACCUGGGAAUUGCAGUCGAGACUGUUCGGCUAGAGUGUGGGAGAGGGCAGUGGAAUUCCCGGUGUAGCGGUGAAAUGCGUAGAUAUCAGGAGGAACAUCAGUGGCGAAGGCGACUGCCUGGCCCAACACUGACGCUGAGGUGCGAAAGCGUGGGUAGCAAACAGG